AUGUCGGAGGUGAGCCGGAGUCUGCUGCAGCGCUGGGGCACCAGUUUUAGGAGAGGCGCCGACUUCGAUUCUUGGGGCCAGCUGGUGGAGGUGAUAGACGAGUAUCAGAUAUUAGCAAGACAUCUACAAAAAGAGGCCCAAGCUCAACACAAUAAUUCUGAAUUCACAGAACAACAGAAGAAAACCAUAGGCAAAAUUGCAACAUGCUUGGGAUUGCGAAGUGCAGCUUUACAGUCCACACAGUCCCAAGAAGAAUUUAAACUGGAGGAUCUGAAGAAACUAGAACCAAUCCUAAAGAAUAUUCUUACAUAUAAUAAAGAAUUCCCAUUUGAUGUUCAGCCUAUCCCAUUAAGAAGGAUUUUAGCACCUGGUGAAGAAGAGAAUUUAGAAUUUGAAGAAGAUGAAGAAGAGGGUGGUGCUGGAGCAGGGUCUCCUGAUUCUUUUCCUGCUAGAGUACCGGGCACUUUAUUAUCAAGAUUGCCAUCAGAACCAGGAAUGACAUUACUCGCUAUCAGAAUUGAGAAAAUUGGUUUCAAAGAUGCUGGGCAGUGCAUCGAUCCCUAUAGUACAGUUAGUGUAAAGGAUCUGAAUGGCAUAGAUUUAACUCCUGUGCAAGAUACUCCUGUGGCUUCAAGAAAAGAAGAUACAUAUGUUCAUUUUAAUGUGGAUAUUGAACUCCAGAAGCAUGUUGAAAAAUUAACCAAAGGUGCAGCUAUCUUCUUUGAAUUCAAACACUACAAGCCUAAAAAAAAGGUUUACCAGCACCGUUUUGCUUUCAUAGAGAUGGAUGAAAUUAAACCUGGAUCAAUUGUAAUAGAACUAUACAAGAAACUCAAUGACUUUAAAAGAAAGAAAUUACAAUUAUUGACCAACAAACCACUUUAUCUUCAUCUACAUCAAACAUUGCACAAGGAAUGAUCCUGACAUGAUUAACCUGGAACAUCUGUGAAUUUUACCACUCGGUAGAAACCAUCAUAGCUCUGUGUAGCAUAUUCACCCUUCAACAGGCAGGAAGCAAGCUGUACCCAUACCAGUAGGCCAGAGUGAGUCCACUGCAAAGCUGUACCACAGAAUUCAAAGUCCAGCACAUCACUGACGUAUAAGACUUCUUUGGAUACAGGUUUAUUGUAGAUUUCAAAAUAUGUUUUUACUUUUCUAUUGUGCAAUUCAUAGUCUGUUUUGUAAUUUACUAUUACUCUUGCCCUGCUUCCUGGAACAAUACUGUUGUGUGUAGAAUGUGCUCAUCUUCAAACUUAAUACAGCAAUAAGAAUGUGCUAGAGUUUACACAUUUGUUCACUUUUGCUCUCAUAUGCUCUUUUGGUUUGAGUUAACUUCAAGCUUUGGGUUGAUGUGGGUAGGAUAGUAUCCAACUGUUUUGAGAGGAAUUGAACCAAUUA